CCAGCCCCAGUCCGACAAGUACUGGGCUCCACACCCACAAACUGGCGUGUUUGGCCCAGCUGCCGAGCAAAACGCUGCAACUGCUGGUGCAGGAAGCAGGGACGGUGGCUUCUUCUCCUCGCCAGUGAAUGGUGGUGGAGAGUCGGUGCUGGAAGAGAAGGCGUGGUUCCGCCCCACCAGCCUGGAGGACUUGGAGAAGCCUCACUGAUCUCAACAAAAGCGCAUGUGAAUAAGGCCAAAGCUCUCCCAUCAGAGGAUAGGUAACUGGAACUGCUACUAAAAAUAUUUAGUAGAAUCAUAAUAAUAAGAAGAGUAGUAAGGCUUGGUUUUGGAUGUGUAUAAAAGAGUUUUACUCCCAACUCUUGUUAUAUGCGGUCAUUUAAUUAGGCUUGGAAUUGGAUGCUAUGUUUCUUGUACUAUUUUGCUAUAAGACGCUUGCUUAUGUUUGCCAUCUUCGCAUCUUCAUUAUUCCUAUUCCUUGUAGCUAACA
rnacentral:lncRNA from 1 species